rnacentral:rRNA from 1 species
CUGGCGGCGCACAUAAGACAUGCAAGUCGAACGAACUUAACCAUAGUUACUAUUGGAGCGGUUAGUGGCGGACUGGUGAGUAACGCGUGAGCAACCUGCCUAUCAGAGGGGAACAACAGUUAGAAAUGACUGCUAAUACCGCAUAUACCUAAGCAUCGCAUGGUACAAUAGGGAAAGGAGCAAUCCGCUGAUAGAUGGGCUCGCGUCUGAUUAGAUAGUUGGUGGGGUAACGGCCUACCAAGUCGACGAUCAGUAGCCGGACUGAGAGGUUGAACGGCCACAUUGGGACUGAGAUACGGCCCAGACUCCUACGGGAGGCAGCAGUCGGGAAUAUUGCGCAAUGGAGGAAACUCCUGACGCAGUGACGCCGCGUGCAGGAAGAAGGUUUUCGGAUUGUAAACUGCUUUAGACAGGGAAGAAAAAGGACAGUACCUGUAGAAUAAGCUCCGGCUAACUACGUGCCAGCCGCCGC